AUCCAGUUGAUGAAUCUCAAAUAGGACGAAACCCAUGUCCUGGAU
rnacentral:hammerhead_ribozyme from 1 species